rnacentral:rRNA from 1 species
AAUCUUCCACAAUGGACGGAAGUCUGAUGGAGCAACGCCGCGUGAGCGAAGAAGGUUUUCGGAUCGUAAAGCUCUGUUGUAAGGGAAGAACACGUACGGGAGCCACUGCCCGUACCUUGUCGGUACCUUAUCAGAAAGCCUCGGCUAACUCCGUGCCUGCCGCCGCGGUAACACGUAGGUGGCAAGCGGUGUCCGGAAUUAUUGGGCGUAAAGCGCGCGCAGGCGGUCCUUUAAGUCUGAUGUGAAAGCCCACGGCUCAACCGUGGAGGGUCAUUGGAAACUGGAGGACUUGAGUACAGAAGAGGAAAGCGGAAUUCCACGUGUAGCGGUGAAAUGCGUAGAGAUGUGGAGGAACACCAGUGGCGAAGGCGGCUUUCUGGUCUGUAACUGACGCUGAGGCGCGAAAGCGUGGGGAGCAAACAG